rnacentral:rRNA from 1 species
CGGCAGGCCUACACAUGCAAGUCGAGGGGCAGCACAGAAAUAGCUUGCUAUUUGGGUGGCGACCGGCGCACGGGUGCGUAACGCGUAUGCAACCUACCUUAUACUGGGGUAUAGCCCGGAGAAAUUCGGAUUAAUCCCCCAUGGUAUUAUAGAUUGGCAUCGAUUUAUAAUUAAAGUCACAACGGUAUAAGAUGGGCAUGCGUCCUAUUAGCUAGAUGGUGGGGUAACGGCUCACCAUGGCGACGAUAGGUAGGGGGCCUGAGAGGGUAGUCCCCCACACUGGUACUGAGACACGGACCAGACUCCUACGGGAGGCAGCAGUGAGGAAUAUUGGUCAAUGGGCGCAAGCCUGAACCAGCCAUGCCGCGUGAAGGAAGAAGGUUCUAUGGAUUGUAAACUUCUUUUAUUUAGGAAUAAACCUCCCGACGUGUCGGGAGCUGAAGGUACUAAAUGAAUAAGCACCGGCUAACUCCGUGCCAGCAGCCGCGGUAAUACGGAGGGUGCAAGCGUUAUCCGGAAUCAUUGGGUUUAGAGGGUCCGCAGGCGGAUUUAUAAGUCAGUGGUGAAAUCCUGCAGCUCAACUGCAGAACUGCCAUUGAUACUGUAAGUCUUGAAUUUGAUCGGAGUGGGCGGAAUGUGUAGUGUAGCGGUGAAAUGCAUAGAUAUUACACAGAACACCGAUAGCGAAGGCAGCUCACUAGGUUUAUAAUUGACGCUCAUGGACGAAAGCGUGGGGAUCAAACAGGAUUAGAUACCCUG